rnacentral:rRNA from 1 species
AGAGUUUGAUCCUGGCUCAGGACGAACGCUGGCGGCGCGCCUAACACAUGCAAGUCGAACGGUGAAGAGGAGCUUGCUCCUCGGAUCAGUGGCGGACGGGUGAGUAACACGUGAGCAACCUGCCUUUCAGUGGGGGACAACAGUUGGAAACGACUGCUAAUACCGCAUAACGUGCCAGAGGGGCAUCCUUUUGGUACCAAAGAUUUAUCGCUGAAAGAUGGGCUCGCGUCUGAUUAGAUAGUUGGUGAGGUAACGGCCCACCAAGUCGACGAUCAGUAGCCGGACUGAGAGGUUGAUCGGCCACAUUGGGACUGAGACACGGCCCAGACUCCUACGGGAGGCAGCAGUGGGGAAUAUUGGACAAUGGGGGAAACCCUUAUCCAGCGACGCCGCGUGAGGGAAGAAGGUUUUCGGAUUGUAAACCUCUGUCAGUGGGGACGAUAAUGACGGUACCCACGGAGGAAGCCACGGCUAACUACGUG